GAUGAACGCUAGCUACAGGCUUAACACAUGCAAGUCGAGGGGAAACGAUAUUGGAAGCUUGCUUCCGAUAGGCGUCGACCGGCGCACGGGUGAGUAACGCGUAUCCAACCUGCCCAUCACUUGGGAAUAACCUUGCGAAAGCAAGAUUAAUGCCCGAUGUUCCGCGUUUGCCGCAUGGCAAAUUCGGCAAAGAUUUAUUGGUAAAGGAUGGCGAUGCGUCCCAUUAGUUAGUUGGCGGGGUAACGGCCCACCAAGACGACGAUGGGUAGGGGUUCUGAGAGGAAGGUCCCCCACAUUGGAACUGAGACACGGUCCAAACUCCUACGGGAGGCAGCAGUGAGGAAUAUUGGUCAAUGGGCAGAGCCUGAACCAGCCAAGUAGCGUGCAGGAUGACGGCCCUAUGGGUUGUAAACUGCUUUUAUAAGGGAAUAAAGUGGGUCUCGUGAGACUUUUUGCAUGUACCUUAUGAAUAAGGACUGGCUAAUUCCGUG
rnacentral:rRNA from 1 species